GGGGAUGGAGCUCAGUGGCAGAGCAUUUGCCUAGCAUGCAUGUGGCCAUGGGUUCCAUCCCCA
rnacentral:tRNA from 1 species